UACGUAGGGGGCUAGCGUUGUCCGGAAUCAUUGGGCGUAAAGAGCGUGUAGGCGGCCCGGUAAGUCCGCUGUGAAAGUCGGGGGCUCAACCCUCGAAUGCCGGUGGAUACUGUCGGGCUAGAGUGCGGAAGAGGCGAGUGGAAUUCCUGGUGUAGCGGUGAAAUGCGUAGAUAUCCGGAGGAACACCAGUGGCGAAGGCGGCCACCUGGGCUGUACCUGACGCUCCAACACGAAAGCUAGGGGAGCGAACGGG
rnacentral:rRNA from 1 species